GAGUUUGAUCGUGGCUCAGAUUGAACGCUGGCGGCAUGCCUUACACAUGCAAGUCGAACGGCAGCAUGAUCUAGCUUGCUAGAUUGAUGGCGAGUGGCGAACGGGUGAGUAAUACGAUCGGAACGUGCCCUGUAGUGGGGGAUAACUAGUCGAAAGAUUAGCUAAUACCGCAUACGACCUGAGGGUGAAAGUGGGGGACCGGCAAGGCCUCAUGCUAUAGGAGCGGCCGAUGUCUGAUUAGCUAGUUGGUGGGUAAAGGCCACCAAGGCGACGAUCAGUAGCUGGUCUGAGAGGACGAUCAGCCACACUGGGACGUGAGACACGGCCCAGGACUCCUACGGGAGGC
rnacentral:rRNA from 1 species